rnacentral:rRNA from 1 species
GACGAACGCUGGCGGCGUGCUUAACACAUGCAAGUCGAACGGAAAGGCCCUGCUUUUGUGGGGUGCUCGAGUGGCGAACGGGUGAGUAACACGUGAGUAACCUGCCCUGACUUUGGGAUAACUUCAGGAAACUGGGGCUAAUACCGGAUAGGAGCUCCUGCUGCAUGGUGGGGGUUGGAAAGUUUCGGCGGUGGGGGAUGGACUCGCGGCUUAUCAGCUUGUUGGUGGGGUAGUGGCUUACCAAGGCUUUGACGGGUAGCCGGCCUGCGAGGGUGACCGGCCUAAUUGGGACGGAGAUACGGCCCAGACUCCUACGGGAGGCAGCAGUGGGGAAUAUUGCACAAUGGGCGGAAGCCUGAUGCAGCAACGCCGCGUGCGGGAUGACGGCCUUCGGGUUGUAAACCGCUUUCGCCUGUGACGAAGCGUGAGUGACGGUAAUGGGUAAAGAAGCACCGGCUAACUACGUGCCAGCCGCCGCCGUAA